UAAUUUGAAGUUGAGUCACUUGCAUCUUACUCCCAACCAUGCCCUGCGCCUUGCAAUUCAAGACUGGCUUUGCAAAUCUUAAAAUCCCGUUGAUUGAUGAAUUUAUGUGCUACGUUUGUAUUGGGCUUUAAUCAUGUGUGUGCCACAGAUGAAUUCUAGGCCAUCCCUGCUCAAUCAAUUUUAUUUACAAAGGUGUAAUUUUUGUAACAUUCUGCACAAGGAGUCUAUCAUCUAAAUUCUAUAUUAUUCCAGGCC
rnacentral:misc_RNA from 1 species